rnacentral:rRNA from 1 species
AGAUUGAACGCUAGCGGGAUGCUUUACACAUGCAAGUCGAACGGCAGCACGGGAGCAAUCCUGGUGGCGAGUGGCGAACGGGUGAGUAAUAUAUCGGAACGUGCCCAGUCGUGGGGGAUAACGCAGCGAAAGCUGUGCUAAUACCGCAUACGAUCUAUGGAUGAAAGCGGGGGAUCGCAAGACCUCGCGCGAUUGGAGCGGCCGAUAUCAGAUUAGCUAGUUGGUGGGGUAAAAGCCUACCAAGGCGACGAUCUGUAGCUGGUCUGAGAGGACGACCAGCCACACUGGAACUGACGACACGGUCCAGACU